UACGGGGGGGGCAAGCGUUGUUCGGAAUUACUGGGCGUAAAGGGCUCGUAGGCGGCCAACUAAGUCAGACGUGAAAUCCCUCAGCUUAACUGGGGAACUGCGUCUGAUACUGGAUGGCUAGAGUUCGGGAGAGGGAUGCGGAAUUCCAGGUGUAGCGGUGAAAUGCGUAGAUAUCUGGAGGAACACCGGUGGCGAAGGCGGCAUCCUGGACCGACACUGACGCUGAGGAGCGAAAGCCAGGGGAGCAAACGGG
rnacentral:rRNA from 1 species